AUUGAACGCUGGCGGCAUGCCUUACACAUGCAAGUCGAACGGCCACAGGUCUUCGGAUGCUGACGAGUGGCGAACGGGAGAGUAAUACAUCGGAACGUGCCUAGUAGUGGGGCAUAACUACGCGAAAGAGCGGCUAAUACCGCAUGAGAACUACGGAUGAAAGCAGGGGAUCGCACGCUCUAGCGCCAGUAGAGCGGCCGAUGGCAGAAUAGGUAGUUGGAGGGAUAAAAGCUGACCAAGCAGAAGAUCUGUAGCUGGUCUGAGAGGACGAUCAGCCACACUGGGACUGAGACACGGCACAGACUCCUACGGGAGGCAGCAGUGGGGAAUUGUGGACAAUGGGCGCAAGCCUGAUCCAGCAAUGCCGCGUGCAGGAGGAAGGCCGUCGGGUUGUAAACUGCUUUUGUACGGAACGAAAAGCCCCGGGUUAAUACCCUGGGGUCAUGACGGUACCGUAAGAAUAAGCACCGGCUAACUACGUGCCAGCAGCCGCGGUAA
rnacentral:rRNA from 1 species